rnacentral:lncRNA from 1 species
AUAAAGGGCCCCCAAAACUCGCUUUGGAAAAAAGCGGAAAAAAGAAAAAAUAGACCUAAGAGACUCUGAAGAGAAUAUAGAGCAGAAAUCCAAAAAUACAGAAAAAGAACAAAUUUAUACUGUUUCAUUAAGUUCCAUUUUUUGGUUUCUGAUUCCUGUUAGAGCCUGAAAAAUAAUAUUUCUUCAUUGUGAAAAAACAAAAAACAAUUGAACUGGGUUUAAAUUAUGAGUCCAAGUUUGCUGGGGGUUUGGUUCGAGUGGAAUUUUCCUUUUGGUUGCUGCAUAUCAACUUUAGGGUUGGAAGUUAGGGUUCACUGAUUUUGCUAUUUGAUUUUUACUGUUGUUGUUGCUGAUCCCUUACCUCAUUUCCUUUGUUCAUUUUAUAUCCAGGUAUGCUUUUGAAACUAUGGGGAAAUUGAAGCCUGAUUGAGCUUAUGUAAAGAUUUGUGAAUAGGAAUUGAGACUUGAAUAUAAAAUAUGUUCCCGGCUGUAUCAAUUGUUAGAUUUAGCCAUUCUAAAUUGUCAAAUUCCUCAUGUCCUGUAGCAAUUCAGUGUUUGAGUAGGUGUCAUUUACUUUUUCAUGUUAUCAUUUUAAGUAUUAUGCAUUUUAGAUUUCAUGUUCUAGAUAUGUUGUAAUUGCUUGAAUAUGUUAAUUUAGUGCUCCGAACUCAGCAAUUGUCAUGUAAAAUAUGUCCAGGAUUCUGCUUAUAGUUUUGGAAAGUUUAUAAUGACUUACUUAUUAGAAUUGCCUUUUAAGUGGUUUAGAUGGAUUUAAUUUUCACAUGCUCGUUUAUAUGAUUAGUUUAGAAAUUAAAUGCAAGCAUAAAUCUCUACUUAAUUUGUUGUCAAAGUCAAUUUAGGUGAUAAUUUGUUGAAGCUCUUGUGUUGGGUGAGACUCGACCUUGAAUCUCGAUUCUUAAUUUUUUGGGGGCAUGUUUUUUGAGUCACGAGUUUGCACUCUUGUU